CCUACGGGUGGCUGCAGUGGGGAAUCUUGCGCAAUGGGCGAAAGCCUGACGCAGCGACGCCGCGUGGGUGACGAAGGCCCUCGGGUUGUAAAGCCCUGUGGGGAGGAACGAACCGCUUCAUGGAUAACACCCAUGGAGCCUGACGGUACCUCCUUAGCAAGCAUCGGCUAACUCUGUGCCAGCAGCCGCGGUAAGACAGAGGAUGCGAACGUUGCUCGGAUUUACUGGGCGUAAAGCGCGCGUAGGCGGCCUGGUAAGUCGGGUGUGAAAUCCCG
rnacentral:rRNA from 1 species